UCCCGAACAAGAACGAACCCGCCCACCGAUGGAGGAUCGGCAUUGGGUUAACGCUGGAAAAGGGUCCCGACAGGGUAGCCCCAAAACCCAGGUUUAUUUACUUGAGAAACAACGGGGUAGAUCGCUCGGUAAUUCCCUGGGGUAGAAAUUUCAAUCAGGGAGGGAUCCUCCUGGGCGAUUCAAAUCAACCCAAUUGGGGAUGGGGGAGGGGAGGGGAGGAGAGGCAAAUGUCACGCAUCCGUUUGCUCCGACUCUGAACCGGGACGACUCCGGACUUGGCUCCGGACCGGGACAGCUGUGGUUGGAAGAUGCGUUGCGUAAGAAGGAGGAAGACGGAAGGCGAGAGAACCGGAGGCGUCGAGGUAGGACUACUUGCAAACAAAGUCCUGGGAUUCAUUCACCUGCAGUUUUUUUCCUUCUAAAAAUGUACAGACGAGCUUCAGAAAUUACUGGAAAUAAUCCUCCAGGACUUCUAAGGCCUCCAGGACUUCUAAGGCCAUGGCUACCUCAUCAGAUGCAAAAUAUAAGGUUACUCUGAAAUGACCAAGCUCAAUGUUCCAUUGAAAAACCAUAAAGAAAGAAACAAGUUGAACUGAAUGUAGACACUUGUAAUUUUAUUAGGUCCUCCAGUGAUAAAGCUAAAACAGUUGGCUAUUAACUCAGUGAAGCACAACACCAUCCGAGUAGGCUAUUUUUAAGAGAUCUGAGUUUUCUUGAACAAUAACUUUAUCUUUUCAAUCUUCAAUUUCAGUUAUAGGUACUCAUUUGACUCAUUCUUUUCUUUAGAGACUAUUGUCUAUUUUACAUACAUAUGAGAUCAUUGUGUGACAAUGUUAAGAAUUAGUCCUUUUCCCGUGGUUGAGUCUUGAGUCUCCUUAUACUUUGAAAAGUAAAUUUAUGGUGCCAUUUCAGGGUGAUAGUAGUCUUUUUCAAAAUGUUGCCAAAUAUAAAUAAAAAUAAAGCAUUGUAGCAUUAAAAACAAUCUAAAAAAUAACAAGAUUUACAUCUUGACCAUUGACUUGAAAAAACAAAACAUCUACAGUCCUCAGUUCCUGACUCUUAGCUAGAAACUGAAUUUCUAGAAAAUAAAACUACAGAAUUAUAUUUCGUAUGAAUUAAAUAUUGAAUUAUUAGAUGACAACGAUGAUGAUGAUGUCUUGUUUAUAUCUUUUGCAAUUAAAAAAAAAUCUGUUAGCUGGCCUGAGUGUACAGCUGAGACAGACCAAUGGAUACAAACAAGCUGUUGUGCCUUGCUCGCCCCCUUCUCCGCAGCCGGGCCCCUCUCAUCUCCUGUUAUCUCAGCCAGAGACGGAUAAUGAAGAUGAACGGCCUGGCAUGCCUCCAGCCCCCAGUCCUGGCACCAUGCCCGGACAGACCGAGCAAGACGAAUGGCCUGGCAUGCCUUUAGCCCCCAGUCCUGGCACCAUGCCCAGACAAACUGAGCAAAUAAACCCCUCCCCCACAGCAUGUGAACAUGAGGAGUAUGAAGCCAGUCAUGAGCUGGAAUUGCCGGCAGCUGGAGGGUGGAGGGAUCCACGCUUCCGGAGAAUGGAGAGGCGACGUCAGCAAAAGGAAGGGAGGGGCAGGCCUGGAUAAGUGCUGAGUCAUGGAGCCACACUCCAUGGCCUAUAUAAAGGAUCUACUUUCUGGCAUUCUUUGAGUCAGGCAAAAUCUCAUUUGGAUUGCUGAAGUCACAUCUUGGACUCCUGCCUGCCCUGAGAACUCUGACAGAACUUUGGCAAAGCUGCAGAGGCUUUAUGGCCACGCUUGAUACAGACUUCCCCGACCCGGCCGUCAGAGGAGGAGUGGGACACGACACAAGCAAACAAAACCACUAACAAACAUAAUGUAAUAUCAAUCAAACGAACAAAUGAAUUUUGUUUCAUGGAGAAAUGUUUACAACAACCAGGUCCACAGUGUUAUACCUGCAGAUUUGAGAACUAGCACCCAAUUUACUUUCUUUAAACUGUUUGCCUAUGCAUAUCUGUAGAAUGGGAAUAUUACAGGAUUACAGAAUUAAUAAACGUGAAUACUAUUCAUAAAUGCUAUUAAUAGAGUGAUAAAAGGAAUAAAACACUACCAACCAAAUAUGUCUUAUCUGAAAUUUAGAAGAAGUGUAAUUCAGGUUAAUAUUUUGCUUGGUUUAUAAAACAAGAAGUGACAUAACACUGGCUGACAUAACUGUAGCUGCAAUGAAUCACUAUUAUAUUUUCCUAUUGUCAAAUAUUUAAUAAUUUAUGUUACUAGUGCAGCCAAAGCACUUUGCACAUGCCUCAAUAUACUGCUACCAUUAUUAUUUUAUGAAUUCUUUUAAUACAAGAAUCAUUAUCUCAGAGUGAAAAAUGGUUUCGAGGCCAAGUCAUGGAGAUUCUUAAUCAAAAGUAAACUCUGCAUAAGUGUUAAAUUUGUAGUCAAAAGAAAGCUCUUUGAUUAUGUCAUCCCGUUCCAUAAUUUAUGAAGUAAUUUGGAUCAGACACAAACAUAAGAGAGUUAUCUUGUCUCUGUCACAGAAUGUGAAAAUGUUGUUCUAAUAAAUCAGUGUAACUUUGA